rnacentral:lncRNA from 1 species
UUUCAUUGAAAUAACAUCUUUAGAAUCUUUCAAAUAAGAUUAUUUUGGCUUGAUAAACUUCAUUGAUUUAAAAGGAAUAAUACACAUUAGUGUUUAUUAUGCAUUUUAUAGUUACGGAGACUAAUUCAAACAAUCAAAGAAUUAUGUUAUGAUAGGUGCUGCUGUCAAGAUAAUAAAUGUAUUAUAUAUAGUUAACUAUACACAUUUCGAAUGUUUACAUUUUUGAAAAAACUACAUUUAUGACAAUUUUGCUGCACAUUAAAAAAAACAGAACAAAACUUCAGAAGUUGGUCGAUGAGACUGCUCUUCAUCUUUUAUAUAAGUUUUGGAUUUUACAUAUAUAACACGAGCAUCGCUGAAGAGACAUGUAUUAUCGAAAUGCGCAUCUGGUGCAGAACAAUUGGUACCUUUAAUGUUAUUGGACUGAUUUGAGAUAUAUCUUCUUAUCAUAAUACAUGUAACAUAAUACGAUUGAUUUUAUCCCUAGUUCGUUAACUUUUUUAAUUGGUUCUAGGCUACUUAUUACGGGCAAUGUUUUGUAAUUGCGUUUUCAAAACAACAGAUGCUUUACGCGUUGUUAAGGGAUGUAGUAUAACUCAAAUAUUUUUGUGCAUUUAAGUUCAAUGUGGAGUUGUAAUUUUACUGCUAAAUCCUAAGAGUUGUUGUUGUUUUCUUUUUUGGACGAUUUGUUUACAAUGUUAAAGACUUCCAUUACAAAACCAAAGAGGAAGUAAAAUUAAACAAUUCUUGAAUAUUAUAAAAGAAAUCUUUA